UGGAAACAAUUUAAAAAGCUAUGCUGGGGCAGGACGGGGCGGCUAGAAAAUUUUGUGGGUUAAGGCUCAACCCGCACCCGCCCCGUGCCGUUGCCAUUCCUAACUGAAUCUCCCAAGGGAUCAUCAUAUUUUGCCUCAAACUUAUCUUACAGUGUAUGGGGGUAUUCUUCCCAACUAGAUGGAGGAAGAUGUUGGCCACUAAGCAUGUGCUUUAUCAGGUGGCAGUUCAAAGAACAACAUCUAAUAUUUCCUGUCUGGAUAUUGGUAGCACCAGUUGUUGUUGUUGACCUAGGGUCAAGUAGGGGCCAUCUCUAGCAACAGUUAUGUCUAACACUGGUAAGGAUUGAGCAGCUUCACCAAGUAAUUUUUUGGAAAAAAACCUCUGAAUUUCUGUUGAAUAAGCUCAGGAUCUGUAAGUCUGAUGUUUUGUUCAUUGCAUAUACUAGAGACUUUGUUUCUGGAUUGUCUGGCUUUCAGUUGAGAAUAAAAAUAUUUUGAGUUUCUAUCACCAAGAGUAAUCCAGGUAGCUCUUGAUUUCUGUCUAAGCACUUUUUCAUGUAUACCAUUCCAUUUCUCAAUCUGCUAACUGGUGGCUCUUUCCUCCUUUAUGAAUUGUUGAUUGAAGUGGUCUA